AAAAAAACCAAACCCUACGACCCACGUUCUCAACGGUUGGUAACCGUCGAUAACUGCUCUGAAAUCAGUCCAAUCGAUAAGCAUCAUCACUUUCAAAGGUUUAAUCUUUCCAUGAAAAUGCGAGUUUCAGGUUCUUUCUCUCUCAAUCAAUUAUGGCAAUUCAAGUUCGCUUAUGUAGUACUCUCAUUUCCCUCCUGGGUUUCCUUUCCCUCUCCUCCCUUGCAUUUGAAUCAUCAACCUCAGAUGAAGCACAAGUUCCAAAUUUCGCUUUCAGUUGGUUAAAUGACAACAACAAAUUCCAAGCUGGGGAUACAGCAGCCAUAAAGAUCAUAGUACUGGGAGAGUUUGACAGUAAAGGAAAUGUUUCACUUGAUAAAAGUGCUUUCAAUCCUACCCUUACAGUUAAUGGGAAGAGAGGAAAUAAUUCUUUUGUGUCUGGGGUUUUCCUGGAUACUGCAGGGGAUACCAGUACCUGGAGAAUUCUCUUCACUCCAAUCAGGGUUGGGGUUUUUAAUGUCUUUAUCAAUGAUGACUCUUUCAAAGUAUUUGAUUCAUCUCUCCAUUUCGAAACUGUGCCAGGUCCUAAUAUGCAAUUUUUAGCAUUUAACUUCUAUUUUCGCGUCUAAGGUAGAACUUGAUUUAUGAUAAACGUUUUCCCUGGGAAUGAUUAGUAAGUGAAGGCAAUUCGUUAUUUUAAUUAUUUUGGCUUUACUUGCUGUUUUUUAAUUAAGGAAAGCUGAAUUUUUUUUGCAAGCAUAUGUAAAAUGUAAUCAUGUUAAAUUAUUGGUGAAGUGCUAUUGAUUGUUUUAACACUUGUGCUAUUGCUCAGUAUUAUAAUGCUUUGCAAAUCAUCUCUUUGUGAAAUGUUAUUAUUGACUGAUAUAUAUUUUUCAAGGACUUUUAUAUUGUCAAGUACAUGUAAAGAUGCAUACUAACCGCAGUUGCUAUUUCCCAUUCAAGGUAAAAUUUAUCCAUCUGUCUGCAUAGCUUCAUGGAUGGGAUUUUUAAACGAGUUUGAAGCUGGGGAGAGAGCUACAGUUUUUAUUGCUCCUAGAGAUGCAUUUGGGAAUAAUGUUUCUUCAACUCGUGAAGAAUUGCAUCCCUAUAAUUUUACAUUGUGUGCACUUUAUGCAAAUGGUUCCCUUGCUAAUGUGCUAAACAUCACUCAUAUUGGCUGGAAUGAGCUUGGUUUUAUUAACAUUGAGUUUAUUGUGGCAAAAGCUGGAAACCUUCUAUUGCAUGUGAAAGGAGGAAAUCAAACCUUGAAUGGCUGUCCACUUCCAUUGAAGGUGAAUCCAGGGCCUCUGGAUGUUUCCAAUUGCCUGCCAAAAUGGAAGUUUGAGACAAACGCUUGGCAAAUAUUUUCCAAAAUGGAAAUUUUUAUUCAUCAACAAGAUCAGUAUGGGAAUCUUGUUUCUGGAUUAUACGAAUUUGAUGCUGAUAUUAUUGAAAAAGAUACAAAUCUGUCUAUACCUGUUGCAGAUUUGUACUUUGAAGACAUGGUACCAGGAAUACAGUUAUUCUCUUUCAGUCUAUUGGAACCAGGAAACUUCUUGCUCACUAUAUCUAAUUUGAAGCAUAAUAGAAGCAUCUCCAAUAUGCCAUUUGCUUAUACUGUCUUUAUAGGUUAUUGUGAUGGAUCAGCCAGCAUUGUCAACGGAUCCGGUUUAAAUGAUUCCGUUGCUGGUGAAAUUGCACAGUUUUCGGUUUAUUUGAUUGACAUUUAUCAAUAUCCUGCUUUUGUUGAACUAGGAAGUAUUAAAGUGCAGAUUGUUAGGGAGAAUGAUUCCUAUAAUGUGCAGCCAAGCAUCUUUCCAAUCAUCCAUGGUAUCUGCUAUUUAUAAUUUCUUCCCUUUUGAUGAACAAUUUUAGCAGAGGUUCAUGAGGACUUGAGGAGGCAUGCAUCUCUUGAAUAGGGAAUGGACCUGCUCAAGAACUCAGCUAUGCUACUAUCAGCCAAACAGAAAUUUCUCCUGCACCAUCUGAUGUUCCAAGGAACAUUUUUGCUGGACACUCGGAAGUUCUGGUCAGUGCUUUUAAUGUGAUUUAUACUGCUGAGAAGAGUGGAAUCUAUGAAAUAUAUGUAUUUUGUGGAAAUAUUUUACUGAGUGGUCACUCAUUCAGAAAGGAAGUUAGAGCAGGUGAGGUUAAUGUAUCUCUUUCAAAAGUUGUGAAAUUUGCUCCCAAGGUGCCAAAGCUUACUGAGAAUGAAAUAUGGGUCCAAUUGAUGGACACAUUUUCUAAUCCUGUCCUGUCCCAACAGUCACUGCUGAAACUAGAGAUUGCUUCAGUCAACAGGUCUGGUUUUUCGACUGGGAUGUUUGUAGAUAAUGAUGAUGGGUCAUAUACUUGUCAAUAUAUGGCUAGAGAUGUUGGAACCUAUGAGAUGUGUGUUUCAUUUGAUGGCAUACGUUUCUCACCGUGCCCUUUUGGGGUCAAUGUGUAUGGUGGUGAAUAUUUUCCUAAAGCUUAUGAUGAUAAAAUUUCUGUGUGGGAGGAUGAGUCUAUUGCUUUUGAUGUUUUAGCAAAUGAUUACUUUGCUGGACACAAUGCAAGCAUUGUUGAAUUCUUGAAACCAGAUUAUGGUUCACUUUUACAGGAUGGACAUUUCUUUAGAUAUACCCCCUAUCAAAAUUAUUAUGGGAGUGACUCUUUUAUGUAUACAAUAUCGGAUGUAAAUGGCAAUCUUGCUUCUGCUGCUGUAAACAUUUCUGUUCUUAAUAUCCCACCCCAGUUUAUUUCAUCUCCGAGUCAACUGCAAGCAACUGAGGACAUGAUAAGCCCCAGAUAUGGUGGUUUCUCAGGGUUUGAGAUUAGGUCUUCUGAUCCAAUGGAGAACAUUUCUGUCACUCUUAGAGCAGACUCUGGAACUCUGUUUUUGUCUCCUAUGCUGAUGCAAUUUUGGCAUCCAAUUUGGGGGGAAUUUUCUGUCAAGAAAGAAGAUGAUGAAGCAAAGAGUUUGACAUUAGAGGGGUCUGUAGAUUUGAUGAAUCUAGCACUUCAGUCAAUUCAAUACCUCGGAAAUGAUAAUUUCAGUGGUGAUGAUACUGUUCGUGUUUCUGCCGGCAACAAGAAUGGGAUAAAUGAUUUAGCAGUUCCAGCUUUUGUGGAACCUAUCAAUGAUCCUCCAUUUAUUAACGUUCCCAAAUUUAUCACAUUGAAGGGCAAUGAGGAUGAGUCACUGAUCUUUAACAAAGCUAGAGACAAGUUUGAGUUUUGUGUUGGAGAUCCAGAUCUUCUUAACUUCCCUGGCAAAGAGUCUCGCUUUAUAGUCGCGUUUUCUGUUGAAGUUGAUGAUGGAUUUUUGGUAACCAGCCUACCAGCUGAACUUAUAGAUACAACUGAACUGAGGCUAAUGAAUAGCUAUCAAUGGCAACCUCUUCAGACAUAUGUUACUAUCUCAAAGCGUUUUAUGGUCAAAGCUAAAGGAAUCAGAUUUCAGGGGACAAUUAUUGAUUGCAACGUUGUCAUGCAACAACUAUCAUAUCAUGGUGGAGAAAAUGGUGCUGUUUUGACGCUGAAAUUAAAUGAUAUGGGACAUUAUGGUUGUUAUUCAGAUUGUGCUGACAAUAUUUCAAUGCCUUUACAUGUCAAGGCUUCUGUAAAUCUUAUCCGAAAAAGGCCAAUGAGUUCAUUGGCAGUUCAUACCCUUGGAUCAGCUGUCAUUAUUGAAUUUCUUAUGGUUCUCUCUUUUGGAGUAGUACUUCUAUUCUUCACAUGCAAAUGUGCAAUUCUUCUUGUGAAUGAAAGAAGCAGCUGCAAAUUCCAAAACUCUAAACAGUCUGGUUUGCGAAAUUUUCAGAAGGAAUCUUCAAGUGUUGAUUUAUCUGAGAAAACAACUGAAUUCACUGGUGGUUGUUCUCGACUUCUCUCACUCUUCCAUCGACCUUCGAACUUUCGACAGCGGCGACUAGCUAAUGACAGGACAUUUUGGAAAUGGAUUCAUAGCUAGGGUAGAGAAACGAGUUUGAGCUUUUCUUACACAUUUUGGCUUCACUAACAAACAUUUUUUUUGCGAAUAUGCAGCUCUUGCCGUCACUUUGGAGUCACAGAAUCUGGCCUGGAUGUACAUAGCCCCUCUCAAUCUACUAGUGGUCACUGUCUAAAAAACUCUGCCUAGUUUUAUGCCACUUGCUAUUGAGAAGGUUUCAUAAACAAGAAGUUGAUCUAUUGUGUGAAAUUAUAAACCAUGCGAUGUAGACAUUGGAGGAAUUGAGAAGACAUUAGAUUGUUUUACUGCUGUUAUUGAAACAUGUCUAUUCCUUACUCUGCAUGCAAAGAUUUGCAGAUUCUGAAGAUGCUUUAACUCAAAUAAGUGUUUUUUUAUUUUUUUUUCCAAACUCUUUUGUUCAUAUACUCGAGUUUCCUGUG
rnacentral:misc_RNA from 1 species